CCUUCAAUAGUUUUUAACCACUCUGCAGCUGCACAAGAAAAUCCAUUCAUCAAUUAUAAAUCAAUUGAGGAAGAGAAAUCUGCAGCUCGCUUGAUUGCCCUGCUUGUCCCUGCGACUCGCUGAUCCAGCUAUAGAAACUUUGCAGCCUGACAGGGCUGAGCCGAGUUCAGGAUCGUUUAAACGCGCAAGGCUGUGCCUCUUCCGCGCCGAGGAGCGGAGCCCAGCCCUGCAUUACGCUGCUUCGCUGCCCCGCGCAUCCCACGCGUGCCUGGCGGGGGGCUUUGUGGACUCCAGAAUGGAAAGGCUCUUUUCGACCAACUGGAUCGUGAGAAGCUUGCCCAAGCUCCCGAGAAAUGUCUGAAUGCAGAAGGCAACGAAUCGACCUAUAUGCAAAUUCUGCUUCCUUUUUUUUUUUUUUUUUCUCUCCCCAAAAGUUAAUAAGCAAUAAAAUCCUCCCGAUAUUGAUUACAUCCCUUUCCCAAUUCCUCAGCGGCGCGAUAAGUCUGAACCGCCUUUAAGUGAGAUGUAACAUGUGGUGACCGAGGCAGAAACUUCCAGUGGGGCUACACACGUCAGUGGCUACAGAUGCAGCUGGAGCAGACACCCAUUGCGCUUUAUAUUAACUUGCCCCUUAGCCGGGCCGUUUCACCUCCAGCCGCGAGCUGGUGUGCAGCAGAAAUUCCCACGUCUGUCUGUCUGUCUGUCCGCUGCUGGCCUGGGCUGCGUGUUACCUCCAUCCCCGUCCCUUCCCCCCAGUCUCCGGCCAAACAAAGGGAGCGAGGAAAAAAGCAGCCCAGGAAGUGCAAAGUGGAAAGCGACCCUCUUCCUACUUGACGACAGCGCCAAUUCCUCUGGGAUCCCACCUGAGAUUAAAGCCUGAAUUUCAAUAAAUCAGCUCUAAUGAAACCUCUGGCCCCGAAGAGGGGAGGGUUUGUCUUUCCCGCUCCAAAACGAGCACAGAAACGAGGGGAGAGGGUGGGGGGAGAGAGAGUAAAUAUAGAAAAGGGUGUGAGAUUUUAGUCCCAGCGGGCUGAUUAGCAUCGUUAUGAAAUAAACCCUACACAAAGUGAUGUAUUUUAUCGUUCAUCCCUGUCUUGCUAUACUGAAAUAAUCGCAUUGUUUGUGCCAGCACUACAGCAAGGCUACACUUCCCUCCUGCUUUCAGUUUUGAUUAUUAAAUCUCAAAUGACGUCGAA